ACGGAGGGUGCAAGCGUUGUCCGGAAUCAUUGGGUGUAAAGGGUACGUAGGCGGGAGCCUAAGUCUGGGGUGAAAUCUUGCCGCUUAACGGUAAAAUGGCCCUGGAUACUGGGUUUCUUGAGUGCAGAAGAGGCAGGUGGAAUUCGUGGUGUAGCGGUGAAAUGCUUAGAUAUCACGAAGAACAUCAGUGGCGAAGGCGGCCUGCUGGUCUGCAACUGACGCUGAGGUACGAAAGCGUGGGGAGCGAACAGG
rnacentral:rRNA from 1 species